GCUCAAUAAUUGUUUUCGUGUUUACCUAACCUAACCUAAUCGCAGUCGUUUCUCAGUUUCCAAAAUUGGGUGAUGAAUAUACUUGGAUAUAAUAUCCAUACAGUGAUUGCUGUUUAUGAGCCAACGGUUAUAUGCGUAGUUUAAGGAAAUAAUAUAAGGUCAGACGACUCUCAUCCACUUGCAGUCCAUUGAACGAUGAUUGCCGAUACUUGUCGAGGCAGACUUCAUUCAAAGUUCAUUAUAAGUGCU